UGAGGAAUAUUGGUCAAUGGGCGGGAGCCUGAACCAGCCAAGCCGCGUGAGGGAAUAAGGCGCCAAGCGUCGUAAACCUCUUUUGUCAGGGAACAAAAGCGGGCACGCGUGCCCGUCCGAGUGUACCUGAAGAAAAAGCAUCGGCUAACUCCGUGCCAGCAGCCGCGGUAAUACGGAGGAUGCGAGCGUUAUCCGGAUUUAUUGGGUUUAAAGGGUGCGUAGGCGGCGUGUUAAGUCAGCGGUAAAAGCCCGGGGCUCAACCCGCGAGCGCUGAAUCAGCUGCUGGAGGACGGCGAGAGGUACGCGGAAUGCGCGGUGUAGCGGUGAAAUGCAUAGAUAUCGCGCAGAACCCCCGAUUGCGAAGGCAGCGUACCGGCGCGGCUGACGCUGAGGCACGAAAGCGUGGUAUCGAACAGGAUUAGAUACC
rnacentral:rRNA from 1 species